GAUGAACGCUAGCGGCAGGCCUAAUACAUGCAAGUCGGACGGGAUUCAGGAGCUUGCUUCUGAUGAGAGUGGCGCACGGGUGCGUAACACGUAUGUAACCUACCUUUAUCAGGGGGAUAGCCUCUCGAAAGAGAGAUUAAGCCCGCAUAAAAUCACAGCACAGCAUUGUGUAAUGAUCAAAUAUUUAUAGGAUAAAGAUGGGCAUGCGGAACAUUAGCUAGAUGGCGGGGUAACGGCCCACCAUGGCGACGAUGUUUAGGGGAUCUGAGAGGAUGGCCCCCCACACUGGUACUGAGACACGGACCAGACUCCUACGGGAGGCAGCAGUAAGGAAGAUUGGUCAAUGGGCGGAAGCCUGAACCAGCCAUGCCGCGUGCAGGAAGACGGCCCUACGGGUUGUAAACUGCUUUUAUACGGGAAUAAACCCAGAUACGUGUAUCUGGCUGAAUGUACUGGAAGAAUAAGGAUCGGCUAACUCCGUG
rnacentral:rRNA from 1 species